UAACCUGCCCAAGAGAUCGGGAUAACACCUGGAAACAGAUGCUAAUACCGGAUAACAACAGAUGAUGCCUAUCAACUGUUUAAAAGAUGGUUCUGCUAUCACUCUUGGAUGGACCUGCGGUGCAUUAGCUAGUUGGUAGGGUAACGGCCUACCAAGGCGAUGAUGCAUAGCCGAGUUGAGAGACUGAUCGGCCACAUUGGACUGAGACACGGCCCAAACUCCUACGGGAGGCAGCAGC
rnacentral:rRNA from 1 species